GAUGAACGCUGGCGGCGUGCCUAAUACAUGCAAGUCGAGCGAACGGACGAGAAGCUUGCUUCUCUGAUGUUAGCGGCGGACGGGUGAGUAACACGUGGAUAACCUACCUAUAAGACUGGGAUAAAUUCGGGAAACCGGAGCUAAUACCGGAUAAUAUUUUGAACCGCAUGGUUCAAAAGUGAAAGACGGUCUUGCUGUCACUUAUAGAUGGAUCCGUGCUGCAUUAGCUAGUUGGUAAGGUAACGGCUUACCAAGGCAACGAUGCAUAGCCGACCUGAGAGGGUGAUCGGCCACACUGGAACUGAGACACGGUCCAGACUCCUACGGGAGGAAGCAGUAGGGAAUCUUCCGCAAUGGGCGAAAGCCUGACGGAGCAACGCCGCGUGAGUGAUGAAGGUCUUCGGAUCGUAAAACUCUGUUAUUAGGGAAGAACAUAUGUGUAAGUAACUGUGCACAUCUUGACGGUACCUAAUCAGAAAGCCACGGCUAACUACGUG
rnacentral:rRNA from 1 species